rnacentral:rRNA from 1 species
AGAGCGAACGCUGGCGGCAGGCCUAACACAUGCAAGUCGAACGGACUCUUCGGAGUUAGUGGCGGACGGGUGAGUAACACGUGGGAACGUGCCUUUUGGUUCGGAAUAGCUCCUGGAAACGGGUGGUAAUGCCGAAUGUGCCCUUCGGGGGAAAGAUUUAUCGCCAUUAGAGCGGCCCGCGUCUGAUUAGCUAGUUGGUGAGGUAAAGGCUCACCAAGGCGACGAUCAGUAGCUGGUCUGAGAGGAUGACCAGCCACAUUGGGACUGAGACGCGGCCCAAACUCCUACGGGAGGCAGCAGUGGGGAAUCUUGCGCAAUGGGCGAAAGCCUGACGUCAGCCAUGCCGCGUGAAUGAUGUAGGUCUUAGGAUUGUAAAAUUCUUUCACCGGGACGAUAAUGACGGUACCGAGAAGAAGCCCGGCAACUUCGCGCCAGCAGCCGC